rnacentral:rRNA from 1 species
UACGGGGGGGGGCAAGCGUUGUUCGGAAUUACUGGGCGUAAAGGGCGCGUAGGCGGCCAUCUAAGUCAGACGUGAAAUCCCUCGGCUCAACCGAGGAACUGCGUCUGAUACUGGAAGGCUUGAAUCCGGGAGAGGGAUGUGGAAUUCCAGGUGUAGCGGUGAAAUGCGUAGAUAUCUGGAGGAACACCGGUGGCGAAGGCGACAUCCUGGACCGGUAUUGACGCUGAGGCGCGAAAGCCAGGGGAGCAAACGGG